UACGAACUGCGCGAACGUUAUUCGGAAUCACUGGGCUUACAGGGUGCGUAGGCGGCCAAUUAGGUCUGAUGUGAAAUCCCACAGCUCAACUGUGGAACGGCAUUGGAAACCGGUUGGCUUGAGUGAGCUAGAGGUACACGGAACUUCCGGUGGAGCGGUGAAAUGUGUUGAGAUCGGAAGGAACACCAGAGGCGAAAGCGGUGUACUGGGGCUUGUCUGACGCUGAGGCACGAAAGCCAGGGGAGCGAACGGGAUUAGAUACCCCCGUAGU
rnacentral:rRNA from 1 species